rnacentral:rRNA from 1 species
CCUACGGGCGGCAGCAGUGGGGAAUAUUGCACAAUGGGGGAAACCCUGAUGCAGCGACGCCGCGUGAGUGAAGAAGUAUCUCGGUAUGUAAAGCUCUAUCAGCAGGAACGAGACAAGACGGUACCUGACUAAGAAGCCCCGGCUAACUACGUGCCAGCAGCCGCGGUAAUACGUAGGGGGCAAGCGUUAUCCGGAAUCACUGGGUGGAAAGGGAGCGUAGACGGCUGAGCAAGCCUGAAGUGAAAGGCGGGGGCCCAACCCCCGGACUGCUUUGGGAACUGUACGGCUGGAGUGCAGGAGAGGUAAGUGGAAUUCCUAGUGUAGCGGUGAAAUGCGUAGAUAUUAGGAGGAACACCAGUGGCGAAGGCGGCUUACUGGACUGUAACUGACGUUGAGGCUCGAAAGCGUGGGGAGCAAACAGGAUUAGAUACCCGGGUAGUC